GGUGGGAGGGGCUAGGGGUCGGGAAAUGACGUCGCGGUUAACGCGUUCACUGUGCGGGUUGAGCUCCCUAGUAACGGCGACUCCCUGGGGCUUCGGGGAGGCUAUUACGACUCCCGGGGUCCUCGGCCGCAUAGCCAGUCUGCCUUCUCCCCACCUUCGAUGUCCCCGCCUCUCAACGCACCAGCCCAACGCUUCUCCCCACCCUCGCCCUCUUCCUCCUUCCCUCUCCGCAGCACGGGCGGCUGGGGCCGACCGCAUCCCUCAGAGUCCUUAGUGACCUGCGAGGUUGCGCUUCCCCCGGCCUCCAAGACGCCUCCGCCUCGGGCGGGGUGAGAGAACCAGGAUUUCGGGCCGGAGCCUGGAGCGGGGAGGGAAAAAGGUUUCUACCAGACGCGGAGACCAGCCGGCCGUGCGGUCGGAGAGGUCCGGUUCAGUUCGGUUCCUGCGGAGCUACGGAGCCGGGACUUAGGGGCCGAGAAGGCGGGCCCUCCGUUUGGGAGCCUUGGCCCUCGUGCCCCCUGUCCCCAGCCCAACCACACACCACAACCCCCGUCCGGAUCCGCCCGGCAGCGGGGGGACCGGGAUGGAGGUGCGGGGACCCUGGUCCUAGUCGUGGUCCGUGGGGAAGAUGGCGACUCCAGGGAUGAGCUGGCAGCAGCACUAUUACACGGCGGCGGCCGGGGGGACGACGAGAUUCUCUUCCUCGGCCGCGGCUCAGCAUUCGGCGUCCACCAUGGACUACAGCCAGGAUCUCCAUUUCAAAAUGAGCAAGAAGAUUGCACAGCUCACCAAGGUAAUAUAUGCUUUGAACACUAAAAAUGAUGAGCAUGAAUCUUCAAUUCAAGCCCUUAGAGAUGCUCAUGAAGAGGAAAUUCAGCAAAUUCUUGGCGAAACAAGAGAAAAGAUUUUGCAAUAUAAAAGUAAACUUACAGAGGAGUCAGACCUUAAACGAAAGAUCCAAGCCUUAGAAGAGUCACUAGAAGGACAUAAGAAGAUGAAACAUCAGGCUUUGACUGAGUUUGAAGCUUACAAACACAGAAUGGAAGACAUGCACAUUUGUGCGGAAGCACAACACGUCCAACGUGUACUAACAAUGGCUCAAGAAGUUGAAGAUAUCAGAAAGAAGUUUGAGAAGAAAUUGGAGAGCUUUGCACAGCUACAAGUCCAGUUUGAGAAAGAUAAAUUGCAGGCUUUAGAUACCUUGAAAGCAGAACAUAUACAGGAAAUGCAAGAACUCCUUCAGACCCAGGACUGUCACAGUGCCUCCUUAAAUAAGGGGCAGGAAAAGGUGGAAGAACUGCACAGAAUUGAAGUGGAAGGCUUAAAUAAAAAACUUGAAGAACUGAAGCUUGAAAGGAAAAAGCUAAUUGAGGAAUAUGAAGGCAAACUGAGUAAAGCUCAGUCCUUUUAUCAAUAUGAGCUGGAUGCCUUGAAAAGAUCCCAGCACUUUACAACUGACAGUCUUCAUGCUAGCAAAGAAAAAGAAGCAGAUCUGAAAAAGGAAUUUCAGAAUCAAGAAGCAAUCUUCCGUAAGACUGUAUUUAGCCUUAGGGAAGAAUUACAAAUAGCAAAGGAUGAAACUGGAAAUCUUCAAGAAAAAUGCCAAAAGCUUCAAAUAGCAAUGUCUACAGUAGAAAACAAUAAUAUGAUUCUUCAAAAACAACUAGAUGAUGUCAAAGGAGAAGAAAUAAAUUUACUAAGCAAACAUAAGGAGGUGGAAAGUGAGCUAGCAGCUGCUAGAGAAAGGUUACAGCAGCAAGCAUCAGAUCUUGUCCUUAAAGCUAGUCAUAUUGGAAUCCUGCAAGCUACUCAAAUGUCACAGGAGGCUACAAUAAGAGAACUGGAGUCAGAAAAAUCAUUGGCGAAUGAGAAAGUAUUUCAACUUGAAAAAGAAAGAAAUUUUUUGCAAAGCAGAACUCAAAGUCUGGAUGAACAACAGAAAAAGCACAUGCUGGAUCUGGAAAAGAAAAUAAGUGAAGCAAGGAAAGAUCAAAAAGAAUGUUAUGAGAAAGAACUAAUAAAACUUCAAACCAGAUUUGAAGGGGAAAUAGUACAAUUAAAUAAAGCUCACUCUAAGACUUUGGAAGAUUUAGCUCAGAAGCACCAUAUUGCAAUUGAGACUAUCCACAGUAAUACAAAUAAGGAAAAGAAAAGGCUGCUGAUCGAACUAGAAGAAAAACAUAAAAAAGAAAAACUACAACUAGAAGAAGAUAAAAGUCAACUUACACAGCAGAUAGAAAGAUUAAAUGAAGAACUGACAGCCAAACUAAAUACAGCUGAUAAAGAGGUUUCUCGACUCCAGGACUUGGUAAAUAAAAGUGAACAAGGUCUUGGUUGUGCAGAAGGGGUUAUCUCUAAUCUACAGGACUCCUAUGGACAACUUCAGGAUGAACUAGAUUUAACCAGAGUAAGACUAAAGGAAACUACAGACUCAUUAUUAAAUCUUGAGAAUGAACUACAACAAGAAAGACAACAGCAUGAAGCAUUGCUUGCUGCCAUGAGGGAAAAUGAGAAGUUCAAAGUGGACAAAAUGGCCCAAGACUUAGAAAUAAAAUGGACUGAAAAUCUUAGGCAAGAGUGUGCUAAGCUUCGAGAAGAGUUAAGACUUCAACAUGAAGAGGAUAAAAAGUCAGCAAUGACUCAACUUUUGCAGUUAAAAGAGCGGGAAAAAAAUGCUGCCAGGGAUGGUUGGCAAAAGAAGGUAGAAGAUCUCUUAGAUCAGAGGCACUGUCUGGGUGAAGCUUUGCAUAAGUCUAUCAACAAUAUUUCCUUGCUGAAACAGAAUUUGGAAAUGCAGCUCUCCCAGUCUCAGACUUCUUUGCAGCAACUACAAGCCCAGUUUACACAAGAGAGGCAACGUCUUACACAAGAACUUGAAGAAUUAGAAGAACAACACCAACAAAGACACAAAUCCUUAAAAGAAGCACAUGUCCUUGCUUUUCAAAAUAUGGAAGAAACAAAAGAACAAGAACAAAAGGCUCUUGAAAAUCAGUUACAGCAGAAACAUUCAGCUGAGCUUCAGUCUUUAAAAGAUGCCCAUAGAAUGUCCAUGGAGGGUUUCAGGAUAGAAAUGGAACAGGAACUUCAAACACUCCGAUUUGAAUUGGAAGAUGAAGGGAAGGCCAUGCUAGCCUCCUUACGCUCAGAACUAAAUCAUCAACAUGCAGCAGCAGUGGACUUGUUAAGGCAUAAUCAUCAGCAAGAAUUGAUAGCUGCUAAAAUGGAACUGGAGAGAAGCAUAGAAGUUGGCAGAAGACAGGAUGAGGAAUAUAUAUGUCGAAUAUCAGACCUACAGGAGGAACUAAGACACAGAGAACAUCAUAUAUCUGAAUUAGAUAAGGAGAUAGAACAUCUUCAUGAGAGUAUAAAUGCCCUAACCAAAGAGUUGGAGUUUAAGGGAAAGGAAGUUCUCAGAAUACGAAGUGAAUCAAAUCAGCAAUUAAGAUUAGAAGACAUGGAAGAAAAAUAUAUGAAGAGAGAUUCAAGACCCGAAGAUUUACAGAUGAUUGCAGACUUGAAAACCUUGCUUGUAGAGAGAGAUCAAGUCAUAAAGAAACUAAUUGAUGAUAAUAAAUUUUAUCAACUGGAAUUAGUCAAUCGAGAAACUAACUUCAAUAAAGUGUUUAAUGCAAAUCCUAAUGUUGGUGUUAUUAACCCACUUAUGAAGCAAAAGAAGAAGAAUGACAAAUCAACAAACAGGUUUGUGAGUGUUCCCAAUCUAAGUGCUCUGGAACCUAUUGGAGUGGGCAAUGGACAUCCUAACCGCCUGGAUCCCAUUCCUAAUUCACCCAUCCAUGAUAUUGAGUUCAACAACAGCAAACCACUUCCACAGACAGUCAUGCCUUCCAAAGAGCCCAAGACGUUUUUGAGGUGAGCAUUGCCUCACCAGUGAUUUUUUUUUAUCCUAAGAAACUUGCCUUUUUAAUAACAGAAAUUCACUAGCAUGAGAAUAGUUCAGUACCAAUAUUUCUGUGAAAUUAUAUUUUAUGAUAUGUUUGUGGCCUCAUUACUAGAGUACUCCUUUUUCCCUGUUUAAAUUAUUUUUUCCUAAUAACUUUUUUUUCCAAACUCUUACCUUCCAUCUUAGAAUCAAUACUGUGUUUUGGUUCCUAGGCAGAACAGUUAGGGCUAGGCAGUGGGGAUUAAGUGAUUUACACAGGGUGACACAUCUAGGAAGUGCCUGAGACCAGAUUUAAACCCAGGACUUCCUUCUUUAGACCUGACUCUCAAUCCACUGAGCCACCUAGCUGCUCCCCUUUAAAUGACUUUUAAGUUAUAAAUUAACUUCCUUAAAGUCUUACAAAAAAUGGUUUAAAGUAAUUUUUGAGCUUCCAGUUUUUUCUGUGAAAUCUGUUUUUAUCAAUUGCCUUUUAAUAGUUUGUUUUUGUUGCAAAAUUUUAAAUUUGUUUUGAUUUAUACCAGUUUUUUAAUUUGAUGCUAUUUUCUGUGUUAUGAGAAUACUUUCUUUUUCUGUUGUCCUUACAUAUAUUGAAUUUCAGUAGUUUAUUAGUUUGUUUAUUGCCAAAAUAGGAAACAUACAAACUUGAAAAAUUAAUGUAGUAUUUAACUACUCAGAAUAAAAUACCAUCACUCAGAUGACUAAAGAAAAAUAAAUUGUCCAUAUAGUUGUUGAUUUUAUGUUUUACAAAUCAGUAAAUUAUGAAGGAAAUUAAAGUUUUUAGUUCAUAGAUAAUUUAAAUGCAUAUGCACUGCCAGAGUUUUCCGUUUGCUUAAAUGAUAAGACUAUUGUUCCGUUUCAUUUUUUGACCCCUUUUGUUAGCAAAUCUUUUCAGUGUCACUGAAUAAUAGUAGACUACCAGAGUAGAUAUUUAACCUAGUUUGAAGUGAAUAAUUAAUCUUAGUGAUAGGCUCUUUAAGAAAGAAGAGAAAAAAAUCAUGAAUUUUUAAAAAUCAUGUUAAUAAAGUAUAUUCUGUUAAAUAUUUUGUGUUGCUUAUUUUUCCCUGUGAAUGAGUAUGUUCAGGAAUCAGUAAGAUGCAUGUGCAUGAGUUCAUGGAAUAUGACUACUGGAGUUUCCAUUACAUAUUGUUGCGUGACUUAUAAUUUUCCCAAAUGACGUCCUCCUCAGAGUGAAGCUUCACCAGUGGCUUCUCCAGAUCCCCAACGUCAGGAAUGGUUUGCCCGGUACUUCACAUUCUAAGAGAAUUAUUUUGAUACAGCAUUGUGUGGACUGUUAAUAAGAGCAUGACUUUAUUAAAAAUUAUUAUGUAAACAGGCUUUCCUAUAAUGUCAGACACUGUGAAUGAGAAAGUAUUUGUCUCUCCAAUUUGAAAAUAUACUGUAUUUCCUGUGAUAUUUGUUGAAAUCACUCUACAAGGUACUAUAUUAUGUGUGUAAUUAUAUAUGUUAUUUUUAUUUUAAAUGGAAGAGUCUUUAACCUUUGUAAUUACUGCAUAAUAAAUUUUGUUAGAACAA